GAUAAGAACGUAGCGAAAUGCGAUACGUAAUGUGAAUUGCAGAAUUCAGUGAAUCAUCGAAUCUUUGAACGCACAUUGCGCCCGCCAGUAUUCUGGCGGGCAUGCCUGUUCGAGCGUCAUUUCAACCAUCAAGCCCCCGGCUUGUGUUGGGGACCUGCGGCUGCCGCAGGCCCUGAAAAGCAGUGGCGGGCUCGCUGUCACACCGAGCGUAGUAGCAUACAUCUCGCUCUGGGCGUGCUGCGGGUUCCGGCCGUUAAACCACCUUCAUAACCCAAGGUUGACCUCGGAUCAGGUAGGAAGACCCGCUGAACUUAAGCAUAUCAAUAAGCGGAGGA
rnacentral:misc_RNA from 1 species